AAAGAUUAAGGAGCUAGAAGACAAGCUGAGAGAACAAGAAAAGCAAUUACAGUGUAUGCAAAAUCAAGAUUUUCCUGGUAUAAUAAGGGCCACACCUAAUGCAGGAAAAACCUGCAUGAGAGAUGAUGAAUUCCUGAGGAGUUCAUCAAGUUAUGUCCUGAGGAGUUCAAACUCAAUUAACUGUCCAUCAAGUCAUGGCUCUGCACUGCCAAAAGGAAAUGAUACUCUCGUCCAUGAGUCAAGGAAGAAAAGACAAUACAGAAGUGGAGAAAUAGAGAACAA
rnacentral:misc_RNA from 1 species